CCCAGAAGUUCUUGCAGAAGCUCUAUGUCCCAGCUUCCAUCUGGCAACUAUAGAUCCCAAGUGUCUGUAACAUGAAAAGAUCAAGCGUCAUAACAGAAAGCCCAAUGUAAAUUGCUCUCAGAAGGGUCAUUUAUUGCCCACAUCACAGAAGAGCUUCCAUAGUGCAUUUGCCAGAGAAACUUUAGCACUUUGGAUGCCUUUGCUCAGUCCCUGGAGGUCCUUGUGGCUCAUUAAGCAAGACUACAGUAUCAGCUGCCACCCAAGAGUGGUUCCAGGAAAGUAAAAUUUCUGCCCAGUCACCUCUGCCAUCCAUUGGCUGAUGACAAGCUGGACGUGAGCCAGCAAGGCAUCCUCACAGCCCAGAAAGCCAAACGUAUUCUGGGCUGCAUAAAAAGAAGCAUGGCCAGCGAAUCAACGGAGGUGAUCCUGCCUGGAUCUACUCUGCACUGAAAUGCCCAGAGAUGCAUGUGUAGAAUCAAUGAAGAAAUGGAGACACCCCUAGCACAAAUACCAACGUCCACAAGCAAAUGUCUAUACCCUCCUUUCAAGCAUAUCUCCAUCCUUCUCCUUCCCAUGUGGGCCUUCAGUGAACUGCUCACAUCAGCUCAGCACAUUUCUUCACUACUUGUGUUUGUAGUUGCUGUUCAUCCAUGGCAAAUAAGCUCCAGAGACACAAUCCUAAUGGAUGGGCAGACCAACAAGAGAACAUGUGACAUCUACAUGAAGAACUUCUUGCACCAUGGGAUGGUAAAGAACAGGCUAUGUUUUGAAAGCAGACCUCUGACACAGGGUCUUGCGUUUCGUCUUGCUGUCACACUGUGUUACCACACCACAUCACACUGUGUGACAUAACCGACAAACCCUGUUGUAACCUGUAUGUGUCAUGGGAAGGCAGCCUGCUGCCUGAUUCUUGUAAGAGUGCUUCAGGAAAAAGGCAAUCCUACUAAUUCCCCACAGCCAGAACUGUAGCAGGAGCAAAGCUGAACAGAGCUGCUUGCUCUCUUCCUACCUAUCUAUAAUCAGCUUCAGGCAGUCAGCACUUGUCACCCUGAACAUUUCAGAAAUUCUAGAGUACAUGGUGAUAUAAAGCCACUGAAAUGGAGUAAUGUCCCAUGAAGAAAGAGGCUGUCUGUUGAAACCUACUUUUUCACAUUCAAGUAGGAGGUGGUGUGAUAGGGCACACCACAGCAGGGUCCUGACAGCAUACGUCAGUGAGGACAAAUGAACUUUUCAGUGCUGGUCCAAGGUAUUUCAGUUUUGUAUCUAGCCCUCUCUGUGCCCUGCUGUCUUCAUGGUGGUGAUACCAGUUUGGAAGUGAUACCAAGGAACUACUCAGAAUAUGAGAACUUCAACUUUUUCUUUUGUUGCGUUCCCCAGGAAUUACCGCUCGCAACAAUUUGUGGAUGUCCCCCUCAGAUUAUUUUAACUAAGAGCUCUCCUGAUUUAUUUCGUCCCCAGGGGAUUUCUAACUUAUGUGAACUAUGACUGGUGAUAAUGAAAUAUAUUGUCGUGCCACAAAUUCAAUACAUUAAAAUAAGUG
rnacentral:lncRNA from 1 species